rnacentral:rRNA from 1 species
GACGAACCGUGCAAACGUUAUUCGGAAUCACUGGGCUUAAAGGGCGCGUAGGCGGGCAGGCAAGUCAGGGGUGAAAGCCCACGGCUCAACCGUGGAAGUGCCUUUGAUACUGCCUGUCUGGAGGGAGGUAGGGGCGUGCGGAACUUCCGGUGGAGCGGUGAAAUGCGUAGAUAUCGGAAGGAACACCGAUGGCGAAAGCAGCGCGCUGGACCUCUACUGACGCUGAGGCGCGAAAGCCAGGGGAGCAAACGGG